UGGGGAAUAUUGGACAAUGGGCGCAAGCCUGAUCCAGCCAUGCCGCGUGGGUGAAGAAGGCCUUCGGGUUGUAAAGCCCUUUUGUCCGGAAAGAAAAGCUUCGGGUUAAUACCCCGGGGUCCUGACGGUACCGGAAGAAUAAGCACCGGCUAACUUCGUGCCAGCAGCCGCGGUAAUACGAAGGGUGCAAGCGUUACUCGGAAUUACUGGGCGUAAAGCGUGCGUAGGUGGUUUGUUAAGUCUGAUGUGAAAGCCCUGGGCUCAACCUGGGAAUUGCAUUGGAUACUGGCAGGCUAGAGUGCGGUAGAGGGUAGUGGAAUUCCCGGUGUAGCAGUGAAAUGCGUAGAGAUCGGGAGGAACACCAGUGGCGAAGGCGACUACCUGGACCAGCACUGACACUGAGGCACGAAAGCGUGGGGAGCAAACA
rnacentral:rRNA from 2 species